UCUUAGCCCCGAUAGAAGUGAAAAUCCUUUUGCUUUUUAAAGAAAAAAGCAAAAGAUUGUAACGGAUUGCUUCGCCAGUU
rnacentral:sRNA from 1 species